rnacentral:rRNA from 1 species
GACGGGACCCGCACAAGCGGUGGAUGAUGUGGAUUAAUUCGAUGCAACGACGAAAACCUUACCUACCUUGACAUGUCCGGAAUCCGAAGAGAUUUGGGAGUGCUCGCAAGAGAGCCGGAACACAGGUGCUGCAUGGCUGUCGUCAGCUCGUGUCGUGAGAUGUUGGGUUAAGUCCCGCAACGAGCGCAACCCUUGUCAUUAGUUGCCAUCAUUUGGUUGGGCACUCUAAUGAGACUGCCGGUGACAAACCGGAGGAAGGUGGGGAUGACGUCAAGUCCUCAUGGCCCUUAUGGGUGGGGCUUCACACGUCAUACAAUGGUCGGUACAGAGGGUUGCCAACCCGCGAGGGGGAGCUAAUCCCACAAAGCCGAUCGUAGUCCGGAUCGCAGUCUGCAACUCGACUGCGUGAAGUCGGAAUCGCUAGUAAUCGUGGAUCAGCAUGUCACGGUGAAUACGUUCCCGGGUCUU